UGGUGUAGCUCAGUUGGUAGAGUGGCUGAUUUGUAAUCAGUAGGUCGGGGGUUCAAGUCCGUCCACC
rnacentral:tRNA from 1 species